ACUCUUCCUGGAGAAAAAAAUUAUUGUUUGUUGCAGGUCUGCAUCUCCAGCAUCCAUAUUUGACUUUUUUGGCCCGAUUCACAUGGCAUUACCCAAAACGAAGAAAUUUGGAUUGCCCACUUGAACUCUGAGUGGUGUAAAAUUCAUUUCAGGGCGGUGGGGGCAGUGAUAUUUUCCAAUAGAAAGACUUUUGCUCCGCCACUCACCUUGCAUUCAUACAGUUCGCCAUUUUGAUAAAAUCUUGACAGAGGCACUCAUUUGCAUUACUCUACCUUUUAUUGUCCGUUUCUUAUUUCACAAAUUCUUAUUUCAUCUUUCUGCUUUCAAUCUUUAUGACCAUUGGGGUUGAAUGACUUUGUGGCUUAUCAGUUGUAGGCAUCACCUAGAACUGGGAUUUUGAAGGUUCAUUGGGAUGAGGAGAAUGAGACUUGCAGCAAGGGAAAGCUGUUACUGUGAUAGAAGGCUCUCUGUCAACUUAGGUUUGGAUCAUUAAAUCUGCAUGCAUGUCUAUUACAGUGGACAACACUCCAAUUCCUCCCCAUAAACUCGUUUUAUCAUUUCAAAUUUUUAUAACAAUUAUAGCGAGAAUGAUAUGUUAUUAUUCGACAGUUUCCCUCUGGGGUUUGACCUAAAAACGCUUUUCACCUUUUUAAUACAUAAAUUAGACUUUUUUUAAA